rnacentral:rRNA from 1 species
GAUUAACGCUAGCGGCAGGCAUAAUACAUGCAAGUUGAACGGCAGCACAGGUAGCAAUACUGGGUGGCGAGUGGCGCACGGGUGCGUAACACGUAUGCAACCUACCCUAUACAGGCGAAUAACCUUUAGAAAUGAGGGCUAAUACGCCGUAGUAUUACAGAUGGGCAUCUAUUUGUAAUUAAAGAUUUAUCGGUAUAGGAUGGGCAUGCGUCCCAUUAGUUAGUUGGUAAGGUAACGGCUUACCAAGACGAUGAUGGGUAGGGGAUCUGAGAGGACUUACCCCCACACUGGUACUGAGACACGGACCAGACUCCUACGGGAGGCAGCAGUAAGGAAUAUUGGGCAAUGGCCGCGAGGCUGACCCAGCCAAGCCGCGUGCAGGAAGACGGCCUUAUGGGUUGUAAACUGCUUUUAUACGGGAAUAAUAGAGUGUACGCGUACAUUUAUGCAAGUAUCGUAUGAAUAAGCAUCGGCUAACUCCGUG